rnacentral:rRNA from 1 species
AUCCGAUUUUGGGUUAGCCAGCAGCGUCAUCAGUCGAUUGAACCCUGGCUACUCGGAUGCAUUCGAACUGGAGCUGAGUCUGUAGAGGGGUGAUCAUGGUUAGCGGGGAUGGGUAGGAUUCGAGAUACCGGGGGGGAGCGGCCCCUUGCCAUUACUGACCUUCAGGGGCGGAAGCGGGGGCCCCACCAGGAUUAGAUUCCCUGGUAGUUCACGCCGUAACCAUGUUGAUUUUGAGGUUGUGGUCUGGACGGUCUUUCGGAAUAACGCGUUAAAUCCACCCCCCGGGGAGUCUCGCCCCAAAGGUUAAAAACAAAAAAAAUGGGGGGGGCCGCCCCAGCGGGGGAGCCUGUGGGUUAAAUUGAUGCAAAGCGAAGAACCCUUCAGUUUUGACAUCCAACGAAUCUUUCCGAGGUAGAAGAGUGCCCUUUGGAAACCUGAGACCGGGGGUGCAUGGGGGUUUUCAGAUUUUGUUUUGAAGUGUUGGGGUUAAUUCCCCAAAGAGCGCAAACCCUUUCCUUUUUUGCCCGCACGUAAUGCUGGGAACUCAAAGGAGACUGCCGGUGAUAAACCGGAGGAAGGUGGGGAUGACGUCAAGUCAUCAUGGCCCUUACGACUAGGGCUACACACGUGCUACAAUGGCAGAUACAAAGAGAAGCGACCUCGCGAGAGCAAGCGGAAUUCAUAAAGUAUGUUGUAGUCCGGAUUGGAGUCUGCAACUCGACUCCAGGAAGUCGGAAUCGUUAGUAAUUGUAGAUCAGAAUGCUACGGUGAAUACGUUCCCGGGCCUUGUACACMCCGCCCGUCACACCAUGGGAGUGGGUUGCAAAAGAAGUAGGUAGCUUAACCUUC